AAGUCGUAACAAGGUUUCCGUAGGUGAACCUGCGGAAGGAUCAUUACUGAGCGCGAAGCCACGCAGGACGCUUGUCCUGCGCGGCUGACCCUCCACCCGUGUGAACUGAAUUUGUUGCUUUGGCGGGCCGGGCUCGACCUACCGGCUCCGGCUGGGGAGUGCCCGCCAGAGAAGCCCCAACUCGUGCAGCUAGUGCAGUCUGAGAAAAACUUAAUAAGUAAAA
rnacentral:misc_RNA from 1 species